rnacentral:rRNA from 1 species
UGAACGCUGGCGGCGUGCCUAAUACAUGCAAGUCGAGCGAACAGAUGAGGAGCUUGCUCCUCUGACGUUAGCGGCGGACGGGUGAGUAACACGUGGAUAACCUACCUAUAAGACUGGGAUAACUUCGGGAAACCGGAGCUAAUACCGGAUAAUAUAUUGAACCGCAUGGUUCAAUAGUGAAAGACGGUUUUGCUGUCACUUAUAGAUGGAUCCGCGCCGCAUUAGCUAGUUGGUAAGGUAACGGCUUACCAAGGCGACGAUGCGUAGCCGACCUGAGAGGGUGAUCGGCCACACUGGAACUGAGACACGGUCCAGACUCCUACGGGAGGCAGCAGUAGGGAAUCUUCCGCAAUGGGCGAAAGCCUGACGGAGCAACGCCGCGUGAGUGAUGAAGGUCUUCGGAUCGUAAAACUCUGUUAUUAGGGAAGAACAAAUGUGUAAGUAACUAUGCACGUCUUGACGGUACCUAAUCAGAAAGCCACGGCUAACUACGUG